rnacentral:rRNA from 1 species
AGCAGCCGCCGCGGUAAUACGGAGGGUGCAAGCGUUAAUCGGAAUUACUGGGCGUAAAGCGCACGCAGGCGGUUUGUUAAGUCAGAUGUGAAAUCCCCGAGCUUAACUUGGGAACUGCACUUGAAACUGGCAAGCUAGAGUCUUGUAGAGGGGGGUAGAAUUCCAGGUGUAGCGGUGAAAUGCGUAGAGAUCUGGAGGAAUACCGGUGGCGAAGGCGGCCCACUGGACAAAGACUGACGCUCAGGUGCGAAAGCGUGGGGAGCAAACAGGAUUAGAUACCCGCGUAGUCCCUGUCUCUUAUAC